rnacentral:rRNA from 1 species
UACGUAGGGUGCGAGCGUUACUCGGAAUUACUGGGCGUAAAGCGUGCGCAGGCGGUUCGCUAAGACAGAUGUGAAAUCCCCGGGCUUAACCUGGGAACUGCGUUUGAAACUACAAGGCUAGAGUGUGGCAGAGGGGGGUGGAAUUCCACGUGUAGCAGUGAAAUGCGUAGAGAUGUGGAGGAACACCGAUGGCGAAGGCAGCCCCCUGGGUUAACACUGACGCUCAGGCACGAAAGCGUGGGGAGCAAACAGG